rnacentral:snRNA from 1 species
GGAUGUCAGGGUGACCUCGCUGCAACAUCUGUCACCCCAUUGAUUGCCAGGGUUGAGUCGGCUGAUCUGGCUGGCUAGGCAGGUGGCCCCCUCCUCCCUCAAUGGUCCCCCACACUCCGUAGGAGAGGAAGACCUUCCCCCCAGAGGAGAGGACCAGUCUUCGGUCAAGGGUAUGCUAGUAGCUGCGCUCCCCUGCUAGAACCUCCAAACAAGCUCUCAAUGGUGAUCAACAUGGCUAAUCUUACUGGUCCCCAACAAUUCUCAUUUCCCAUUGAAUAAAU